ensembl:lncRNA
ACAAAGCCUUAAUGGGAGGCUCAUCAUUGACUUCAGUAAAGAAGGGAAUGUAUCGUGUCUGAUAUCGAAGGAAAGGCCGAGGAAGCUGCUUGAAACUGUUUCUAGCUAGUGAAUGAGGCUUUCAUGUUUCAACGUAUGAGUCAGACACAAUGUUGGAAUAAUGAAAACCACACACAUUGUGUGGGCGUGCGUGUGCGUGCUUGCAUGCAUGUGUGUGGGUGUGGGCGUGUUUAAUUUAUGUGUAGGGUUGCAAAAUUCCUGAAACUCUGAAUAUAUUCCCUGAUUUUCCUGAAAUGCUGGUUGUAGGAUUAAUGGAAUCAAGAGGGAAUCUGGAGUCCUCCAACCAGGAUUUUUAGAAAAUGCAUCACAACGUCUGGCUGCAGUUAUUUAAUGUUGGUCAACACAUCACAACUUCCAGGGGGCAGUGAUUUAAUCAGAGUUAUUGGUGGUCUUAAGGGUAUUCAAUAGGUCUAGUGAACAGAUCAGGGUUAUUGGUGGUCUUAAGGGUAUUCAAUAGGUCUAGUGAACAGAUCAGGGUUAUUGGUGGUCUUAAGGGUAUUCAAUAGGUCUAGUGAACAGAUCAGGGUUAUUGGUGGUCUCCUCAGAGAUUUGCAGAUAGGAGACACAUGUCUGCUGUAGUACUCCUAUCAGCUGGAGGCCAGUGAACAGUGAUGAUCUACUGUAUGUAGUGUGGCUGUAUUCUGUAACGCUGUGGACGUUUCAACUUUCUGAACCCUAGAUAGAAUGGACACAUGGGCCCAGUUCCAUUUAGGUUCCUAGUAUCUUCCCUUAGCUCCUACUCCUUCACAGAUCUAUUAAUUAAUACUAGAGGGCCUAGGGACCCUAAUGGAUCUGAUCUGGGCCUUUGUUUUUGGGAAGUUCAUAUUUGAAGGAGUUGGUUGUCUAGGAAGGGUUUGUCUGAUCUGGGCCUUGGUUGCUGGGAAGUUCAUCUGGAUCUCAUCCCUCCCACCAUACCCUCAGCGACUCAUAGUUACCUUCUGGUUACAAUUUGUCCCUCUCCUUGGAAAUACUUUACUCCUUAUUCGGAGUGAUGUGUGUCCAACACUCCUAUAGACAGACUAGAAAUCACUGGCCACUUUGAUAAUGUUUACAUAUCUUGCAUUACUCAUCUCAUAUGUAUAUAUUGUAUUCUAUACUAUUCUACUGUAUCUUAGUCCAUGCAUUACUCAUCUCAUGUGUAUAUACUGUAUUCUAUACUAUUCUACUGUAUCUUAGUCCAUAUCUGGCAUUACUCAUCUCAUGUGUAUAUAUUGUAUUCUAUACUAUUCUACUGUAUCUUAGUCACUUUAAUGUUUACAUAUCUGGCAUUACUCAUCUCAUAUGUAUAUAUUGUAUUCUAUACUCUUCUACUGUAUUUUAGUCCAUGCAUUACUCAUCUCAUAUGUAUAUAUUGUAUUCUAUUCUAAUGUAUCUUAGUCCAUGCAUUACUCAUCUCAUAUGUAUAUACUGUAUUCUAUUCUACUGUAUUUUAGUCCAUGCAUUACUCAUCUCAUAUGUAUAUAUUGUAUUUUAUACUCUUCUACUGUAUAUUAGUCCAUGCAUUACUCAUCUCAUAUGUAUAUACUGUAUUCUAUUCUACUGUAUCUUAGUCCAUGCAUUACCCAUCUCAUAUGUAUAUACUGUAUUCUAUUCUACUGUAUCUUAGUCCAUGCAUUACUCAUCUCAUGUGUAUAUACUGUAUUCUAUAUUAUUCUACUGUAUCUUAGUCCAUGCAUUACUCAUCUCAUAUGUAGAUACUGUAUUCUAUUCUACUGUAUCUUAGUCCAUGUAUUACUCAUCUCAUGUGUAUAUACUGUAUUCUAUAUUAUUCUACUGUAUCUUAGUCCAUGCAUUACUCAUCUCAUGUGUAUAUACUGUAU